CACGUAGGGUGCGAGCGUUGUCCGGAAUUAUUGGGCGUAAAGAGCUCGUAGGCGGUGCGUCGCGUCGGCCGUGAAAACCUGCAGCUUAACUGUGGGCUUGCGGUCGAUACGGGCAUCACUGGAGUUCGGCAGGUGAGACUGGAAUUCCUGGUGUAGCGGUGAAAUGCGCAGAUAUCAGGAGGAACACCGGUGGCGAAGGCGGGUCUCUGGGCCGAUACUGACGCUGAGGAGCGAAAGCGUGGGGAGCGAACAGG
rnacentral:rRNA from 1 species